AUUGAACGCUGGCGGCAGGCCUAACACAUGCAAGUCGAGCGGCAGCGGGAAAGUAGCUUGCUACUUUUGCCGGCGAGCGGCGGACGGGUGAGUAAUGCCUGGGGAUCUGCCCAGUCGAGGGGGAUAACUACUGGAAACGGUAGCUAAUACCGCAUACGCCCUACGGGGGAAAGCAGGGGACCUUCGGGCCUUGCGCGAUUGGAUGAACCCAGGUGGGAUUAGCUAGUUGGUGAGGUAAUGGCGCACCAAGGCGACGAUCCCUAGCUGGUCUGGGAGGAUGAUCAGCAACACUGGAACUGCGACACGGUCCAGACUCCUACGGGAGGCAGCAGUGGGGAAUAUUGCACAAUGGGGGAAACCCUGAUGCAGCCAUGCCGCGUGUGUGAAGAAGGCCUUCGGGUUGUAAAGCACUUUCAGCGAGGAGGAAAGGUUGGUAGCUAAUAACUGCCAGCUGUGACGUUACUCGCAGAAGAAGCACCGGCUAACUCCGUGCCAGCCGCCGCCGUAAAAC
rnacentral:rRNA from 1 species